GCCUGGGUGGCUCAGUCGGUUAAGCAUCCGACUUGGGUUCAGGUCAUGAUCUCGUGGUUGGUGGGUUCGAGUCCCGCGCCGGGCU
rnacentral:tRNA from 1 species